rnacentral:rRNA from 1 species
GCAGGCCUAAUACAUGCAAGUCGAACGCGAUUAAGGGGCUUGCUCCUUAUGAAAGUGGCGCACGGGUGCGUAACGCGUAUGCAACCUACCUUUAUCAGGGGGAUAGCCCGGAGAAAUCCGGAUUAACACCGCAUAAAAUCACAGGAUAGCAUUAUUCAAUGAUCAAAUAUUUAUAGGAUAAAGAUGGGCAUGCGUGUCAUUAGCUAGUUGGCGGGGUAACGGCCCACCAAGGCGACGAUGACUAGGGGAUCUGAGAGGAUGGCCCCCCACACUGGUACUGAGACACGGACCAGACUCCUACGGGAGGCAGCAGUAAGGAAUAUUGGUCAAUGGAGGGAACUCUGAACCAGCCAUGCCGCGUGCAGGAAGACUGCCCUAUGGGUUGUAAACUGCUUUUAUCCGGGAAUAAACCUACUUACGUGUAAGUAGCUGAAUGUACCGGAAGAAUAAGGAUCGGCUAACUCCGUGCCAGCAGCCGCGGUAAUACGGAGGAUCCAAGCGUUAUCCGGAUUUAUUGGGUUUAAAGGGUGCGUAGGCGGCCUGUUAAGUCAGGGGUGAAAGACGGUAGCUCAACUAUCGCAGUGCCCUUGAUACUGAUGGGCUUGAAUGGACUAGAGGUAGGCGGAAUGAGACAAGUAGCGGUGAAAUGCAUAGAUAUGUCUCAGAACACCGAUUGCGAAGGCAGCUUACUAUGGUCUUAUUGACGCUGAGGCACGAAAGCGUGGGGAUCAAACAGGAUUAGAUACCCUGGUAGUCCACGCCCUAAACGAUGAACACUCGCUGUUGGCGAUACACAGUCAGCGGCUAAGCGAAAGCGUUAAGUGUUCCACCUGGGGAGUACGCCCGCAAGGGUGAAACUCAAAGGAAUUGACGGGGGCCCGCACAAGCGGAGGAGCAUGUGGUUUAAUUCGAUGAUACGCGAGGAACCUUACCCGGGCUUGAAAGUUAGUGAAUGAUUUAGAGAUAGAUCAGUGAGCAAUCACACGAAACUAGGUGCUGCAUGGCUGUCGUCAGCUCGUGCCGUGAGGUGUUGGGUUAAGUCCCGCAACGAGCGCAACCCCUAUGUUUAGUUGCCAGCAUGUAAUGAUGGGGACUCUAAACAGACUGCCUGUGCAAACAGAGAGGAAGGAGGGGACGACGUCAAGUCAUCAUGGCCCUUACGUCCGGGGCUACACACGUGCUACAAUGGAUGGUACAGAGGGCAGCUACAUAGCAAUAUGAUGCGAAUCUCACAAAGCCAUUCACAGUUCGGAUUGGGGUCUGCAACUCGACCCCAUGAAGUUGGAUUCGCUAGUAAUCGCGUAUCAGCAAUGACGCGGUGAAUACGUUCCCGGGCCUUGUACACACCGCCCGUCAAGCCAUGGAAGCUGGGGGUACCUAAAGUAUGUAACCGCAAGGAGCGUCCUAGGGUAAAACCGGUAACUGGGGCUAAGUCGUA